rnacentral:rRNA from 1 species
UUAGAUACCCUGGUAGUCCACGCCGUAAACGAUGGAUACUAGGUGUGGGGGGACUGACCCCCUCCGUGCCGCAGCUAACGCAAUAAGUAUCCCACCUGGGGAGUACGAUCGCAAGGUUGAAACUCAAAGGAAUUGACGGGGGCCCGCACAAGCGGUGGAGUAUGUGGUUUAAUUCGAAGCAACGCGAAGAACCUUACCAGGGCUUGACAUCCUGCUAACGAACCAGAGAUGGAUUAGGUGCCCUUCGGGGAAAGCAGAGACAGGUGGUGCAUGGUUGUCGUCAGCUCGUGUCGUGAGAUGUUGGGUUAAGUCCCGCAACGAGCGCAACCCUUAUUGUUAGUUGCUACGCAAGAGCACUCUAACGAGACUGCCGUUGACAAAACGGAGGAAGGUGGGGACGACGUCAAAUCAUCAUGCCCCUUACGUCCUGNGCCACACACGUACUACAAUGGCGGCCAACAAAGAGAGGCAAGACCGCGAAGUGGAGCANAUCUCANAAAGCCGUCCCAGUUCNGAAUCGCANGCUGCAACCCGCCUGCGUGAAGUUUGAAUCGCUAGUAAUCGCGGAUCAGCAUGCCGCGGGUGAUACGUUUCGGGGCCUUGUACACACCGNCCGUCACACCAUGAGAGUCGGGAACACCCGAAGUCCGUAGCCUAACCGCAGGGGGGCGCGGCCGAAGUGGGUUCCAUAAUUGNGGGAAAUCCUAACAAGUAACCCCAAUCCACCCACUGGCGGCCGUUCUAAUGAAUCCAACCUCGUCCCACCUUGGCGUAUCAUGGACUUACUGUUUCCUGGGGAAAAGGUAUCCGUCACAUUCCCACAAA